rnacentral:rRNA from 1 species
AGUGAACGCUGGCGGUAGGCCUAACACAUGCCAGUCGAACGGCAGCACAGUAAGAGCUUGCUCUUACGGGUGGCGAGUGGCGGACGGGUGAGGAAUACAUCGGAAUCUACUUUUUCGUGGGGGAUAACGUAGGGAAACUUACGCUAAUACCGCAUACGACCUACGGGUGAAAGCAGGGGAUCUUCGGACCUUGCGCGAUUGAAUGAGCCGAUGUCGGAUUAGCUAGUUGGCGGGGUAAAGGCCCACCAAGGCGACGAUCCGUAGCUGGUCUGAGAGGAUGAUCAGCCACACUGGAACUGAGACACGGUCCAGACUCCUACGGGAGGCAGCAGUGGGGAAUAUUGGACAAUGGGCGCAAGCCUGAUCCAGCCAUACCGCGUGGGUGAAGAAGGCCUUCGGGUUGUAAAGCCCUUUUGUUGGGAAAGAAAAGGAGCAGGUUAAUACCCCGCUGUUCUGACGGUACCCAAAGAAUAAGCACCGGCUAACUUCGUG